rnacentral:rRNA from 1 species
CAAUAGCGUAUAUUUAAGUUGUUGCAGUUAAAAAGCUCGUAGUUGGAUUUCUGGUCGGAAGCUCCUGUCCUCUGAUGAGCGUACAAGUGCGUCCUACCAUCCUUCUGUUAACCUUUAAGGCUUUCGCGGCUUUCUAGGGGCUCAGAUAUUUUACCUUGAGAAAAUUAGAGUGUUUCAGGCAGGCUAGCGCCGGAAUACAUUAGCAUGGAAUAAUGGAAUAGGACUUUUGCCUCUUCUGUUGGUCAUGAGGCUCGAGUAAUGAUUAAUAGGGAUAGUUGGGGGCAUUAGUACUUAACUGUCAGAGGUGAAAUUCUCGGAUUUGUUAAAGACUAACUUAUGCGAAAGCAUUUGCCAAGGAUGUUUNCAUUAA